rnacentral:tRNA from 1 species
ANGGAAAUUACAUGCCCCUCAAUGA